CCAGACUCCUACGGGAGGCAGCAGUGGGGAAUAUUGGACAAUGGACCGAGAGUCUGAUCCAGCAAUUCUGUGUGCACGAUGAAGUUUUUCGGAAUGUAAAGUGCUUUCAGUUGGGAAGAAAUAAAUGACGGUACCAACAGAAGAAGUGACGGCUAAAUACGUGCCAGCAGCCGCGGUAAUACGUAUGUCACGAGCGUUAUCCGGAUUUAUUGGGCGUAAAGCGCGUCUAGGUGGUUAUGUAAGUCUGAUGUGAAAAUGCAGGGCUCAACUCUGUAUUGCGUUGGAAACUGUGUAACUAGAGUACUGGAGAGGUAAGCGGAACUACAAGUGUAGAGGUGAAAUUCGUAGAUAUUUGUAGGAAUGCCGAUGGGGAAGCCAGCUUACUGGACAGAUACUGACGCUGAAGCGCGAAAGCGUGGGUAGCAAACAGGAUUAGAUACCCUGGUAGUCCACGCCGUAAACGAUGAUUACUAGGUGUUGGGGGUCGAACCUCAGCGCCCAAGCAAACGCGAUAAGUAAUCCGCCUGGGGAGUACGUACGCAAGUAUGAAACUCAAAGGAAUUGACGGGGGCCCGCACAAG
rnacentral:rRNA from 1 species